ensembl:lncRNA TRHDE-AS1 TRHDE antisense RNA 1
GUCCCCGCCUGCGUGGUGGUUGCGCCGGGCCGAUCCAGGGAGGCUCCCGUUGCCGCCGCGCUCCGGAAAGCCUGAGGGGCCACCGUCGGCGCCUGGCGUGGCACUCGCCCCGCACUCGUCGAAGCGCAGGCUGAGCAGCACAGCGAGCAUUGUGACCGCGAGCAAUGCCACGAGGGACACAGCGAAGGCCAGCACAAGCCGCUUGUGUACGGCGAUGUGGCGCUCCGUGGUGCGGGGUCGCACUCCCACUGAGUCUGCCCACGGGUCGGAGAGCCCCCUGCUGCCAGCCCGAAGCGCGGCGUCGUCUUCCCCCAUCGCGGCUGCGAAGGCGGCGGCGUUCGGUCCUCUGGGUGGAAUGUGCUCGCAGCAGCAGUGACGGCGGCCACAGCACGGGAGGCACCCGAGCCAUACACCCUGCAGCUGGAGAGAAAAGGAUGGCCGAGGUGGGAGAGACUAGAGUGAACCAGCAGGAGGAAGUCCCAGGGCCGCGAAGCUACGACGGAGAUCCGUCCUGGAAAAGCCUUCUCCACCCUGGGCACUUUAAGCGGCGGUGGCGGCAAACGGCAGGAGGUUGCAGACCCGACAGCGAGACUCCCUCAUUCCAGUCUUGCUCUGCCCUCCGGAGAUGACAAGUGAGAAAGAAGUGUCCGGCCGGGCCAUCCCCUUCAGGGAAUGUAACAUCUCAAGUUAAAGAGGAACUGCCCGGAACAGCCCGGGGAUUGUUCCUCUCUCCUGAGAAGGAAGAUUACCUCCAAAGCUCAUCCACUGAGUCACACUGCCCCUGUGGUGGAGGGCGGGCUGCCUUUCCAGGUUCCUCAGCUGUGGUGUAACUGAAGCAGGCACAAUCAAGACUCCAUCUGCUCGAGGCAGCUUUCUCGAACCUUGGGGAACCUACUCACAAUGGAUCACAGGCUUCUUUUGUUUUGUUUCUUGCUGCCUAUCUUGGGAAGCAAAAAUCAGCUGAGUGAAGAUGAGGAAGAAGGUGUUAAAGGUUUGAAGAAAAAAGGAAAAGGAUAUACUAAUCUAAGAGGACAAGUAAGUAGAACAUAGAUAAUGAAAAUGCUGGCCCUUAGGACUGUUGGGCCUAAAUGCUCAUAUUAUAUUGGUAGUCACAAAUUUGAACUUUCUCUAGAGCCAAUUUUUGCAUGUGUGUGCAGGCCUGGAGUAGUUGGAGAGUUGGAUUUAAUAGAAUUGAGGGUCAAGCAACUACAACCAGGGAAGAGUGGGACAAGGGAGAUAAAGGAUAUUGGCAGGGGAGCAAUUAUAAACAUGGACCAUGAUCAAAACUGGACAGGAAGGAAAAUAGAGAUAAGAGGGGUGGAAGGUUAAAAAUAGUGAAAAUGAGAUAGAAUGAAUAGGUUGUAGGUCCCUGUAAAGUUGAAGAAGUAUUAUUAUGCAGUACUCGUUAUUGAAAUGAGGUCACUAUGCUUAAGGCACAGUGAAUCCUAGAAAAUAGUGGUUUUGUUUCUCAUUAGGCAAUACAUUCCUCCUUGCUCCAGAAUGCAACAUACAUGUAUCCUUUUCUGUACUAUUUUUUAUUAAGAAUUCAUACUUAAUUCCACUGACUGCCACUCAAUUUUAAUGUACAGUAGGGAAUUCCUGUACUAUGUAUUAUGAAUCCAUUCCUUUGAAUUUCAUUUAUAAUACUUCAUGACUGACACCUGGCUUUCCACCAAGACUCAAUUUUCAUAGCAAGCCUCAUCAUCAUAAGCCCCCAAAUUAACAGGAUGAGGAGGAAGAAUUGGCAGGCUAAAGAAGAUGAUUAUAUCAAUUAAUGCAGAAAAAGCAUUUGAUAAAAUCCAAUAUUCAUUUGUAAUUAAAAACUCUCAGCAAGUUAGGGAUAGGAAUUACUUCAACUUAAUGAAGAGUGUCUUUAAAAACCUUAUUUUCAUCAGUUAUAACAAAUGUACCACUCUGGUGGUGAAUGUUGCUAAGGAGGGAAGCUAUACAUGUGUGGGGAAAGGAGAUGUGUGAGCAAUUUCUGUACCUUCUACUCAAUCUUCUGUG